UCAUUAUCUGUAGGUCAAUUUCAACGCUCCUCAAAUUUAAUAGACCCGAAGAAUUCUCAGCAUCUUCUAACAUGUGGAUGGAGUCAAUCCAUUGAAAAAAGCCACAAAAUGUUUGCAUCUGUAGAAAAUUAAAUUAAUAAGUACCACGACUGUAUGUAAAAAUUCUUCAAUUUUAUAUCAGAGUAAAUACAAGUACUUACACCAUAAUUUGAACAACCAUAAAACUUCCUCCCUACAUUGUUGCCCUUUGACGAUGUACAAAUUCUUGCUCGUAUCCCACAGC
rnacentral:lncRNA from 1 species